rnacentral:rRNA from 1 species
UACGAUAACGAACGAGACCUUAACCUGCUAAAUAGUUAGGCCAACGUUUGUUGGUCGUCAACUUCUUAGAGGGACUAUUGACUAUUAGUCAAUGGAAGUUUGAGGCAAUAACAGGUCUGUGAUGCCCUUAGAUGUUCUGGGCCGCACGCGCGCUACACUGAUCAAGUCAACGAGUUUACAACCUUGGCCGGAAGGUCUGGGUAAUCUUUUGAAACUUCAUCGUGCUGGGGAUAGUUCAUUGCAAUUAUUGAACUUCAACGAGGAAUUCCUAGUAAGCACAAGUCAUCAGCUUGUGUUAAUUACGUCCCUGCCCUUUGUACACACCGCCCGUCGCUAGUACCGAUUGAAUGGCUA